AUUGAACGCUGGCGGCAGGCUUAACACAUGCAAGUCGAGCGGGGUGAUGGUGCUUGCACUAUCACUUAGCGGCGGACGGGUGAGUAAUGCUUAGGAAUCUGCCUAUUAGUGGGGGACAACAUCUCGAAAGGGAUGCUAAUACCGCAUACGUCCUACGGGAGAAAGCAGGGGAUCACUUGUGACCUUGCGCUAAUAGAUGAGCCUAAGUCGGAUUAGCUAGUUGGUGGGGUAAAGGCCUACCAAGGCGACGAUCUGUAGCGGGUCUGAGAGGAUAAGCCGCCAAACUGGGACUGAGACACGGCCCAGACUCCUACGGGAGGCAGCAGUGGGGAAUAUUGGACAAUGGGGGGAACCCUGAUCCAGCCAUGCCGCGUGUGUGAAGAAGGCCUUAUGGUUGUAAAGCACUUUAAGCGAGGAGGAGGCUCUUUUGGUUAAUACCCAAGAUGAGUGGACGUUACUCGCAGAAUAAGCACCGGCUAACUCUGUGCCAGCCGCCGCCGUAA
rnacentral:rRNA from 1 species